rnacentral:rRNA from 1 species
ACCCCCGUGAGAAUGCCCUAAGUACCCCCCGGAACUAAGGAGCGGGCAUCAGGCACGCACAUGCAGCCCAUAACGCCUUGCUUAGCCACACCCCCAAGGGACCUCAGCAGUGGUAAACAUUAAGCCAUAAGUGAAAACUUGACUUAGUUAAAGCUUAGAGGGCCGGUAAAACUCGUGCCAGCCACCGCGGUUAUACGAGAGGCCCAAGUUGAUAGCCUAACGGCGUAAAGCGUGGUUAGAGAAAUUAAAAUACUGGAAUCAAACACUCCCAAAGCUGUUAUAAGCAUAUGAGAAUACGAAGCCCACCCACUAAAGUGAUUCCACCAAUCCCCGACCCCACGAAAGCUACAAAACAAACUGGGAUUAGAUACCCCACUAUGUGUAGCUGUAAACUUUGAUGGUUACUAAUACCUACCCCAUCCGCCUGGGAACUACAAGCGACAGCUUUAAACCCAAAGGACUUGGCGGUGCUUUAGACCCCCCUAGAGGAGCCUGUUCUAGAACUGAUAAUCCCCGUUAAACCUCACCCCCCCUUGUUAAUACC